CGAGCAGCUUCUGAAACAGAAGAUUUUUUUCAGCUUAGCUUCCUCUUCAAACGAGCUUCAGAGAAAGUAGUUGAAGCAACCAUGCAUGAGAGGCUAUUAUUAUAUGAAAAAUAAACUCACUUAUUUCUGAUUUUUGGAGCUGCAGAUCAGUUGCACCUCAAAAAAUUCAUUUGACUUGCAUCAUUUAACCAUCUAGUUUAGACAAUUCUCUCGCCAAGAUAACAUAUGUCUGGAAACUAAUAGUGCAGCUCUUGGAUUCCAUGACAUGAAGAAGCUUCAUGCACAAUUCAGAUUCUCUCUCCUUGAGUAAACCAUCAAUCAGGAUGGUCCAAACAAUCUCAUCACUGUUCCACUGUUUCCCAAGCAUGUUUUCAAAUAACACUUCAACUUCUUUUAGUCGGCUUUUUCUACAGAGAGCACAAAUGAGUGAUUGAUAAAUUGACAACAUGUUUUCAAAAAAUACUUCAACUUCUUUUAGUCGGCUUUUUCUACAGAGAGCACAAAUGAGUGAUUGAUAAAUUGACAAAGGAGGCCGAAAACC
rnacentral:lncRNA from 1 species